GAGGGAGGCAAUAAAGCAGGCCCCUACUGGACCUGCCUGGAGAGCCCUCUGCCCAUGUUGGUGGCCAGGAAGGCAAUGGCGGGGCCAACCGACUAGAGGCGCCUUGGAACCCUUGGUCUCCAUGGCAACCAGAUGGCAAUCCAACCUCUGCUUUAAAACCUCCAGAGAAGAAGACUCCACUGGACUCCAACAUAACCAUCGCAUUCCUCUGUUGAGCAGCUCUUACUGUCAAUAAGUCUUUCUGAUUCAUCAGGUGAAAUCUCCUUUCCUGCCAUAUGGAUCCAUUGCUCUGCUGUGUCCCAAUCUCCUCAUUGAGCCUCCCUUCGUAUGUUAAAACAUGACUCCUAUGACCCUUCUCUCAUCCUCCUUCUUCAAGCAAAAUGUAUUCAGUGGCUCCUUAGAGGGAUUUAUGGCUUUGGCCCUUUUGGCGGCCCUUCCUUCUCUGGACCUUUUUGCCUGUCCCUCUCCUUCUUGGAUUGUGGUCUCCAGAAAUGGAUGAUCCCAGGUGAGUUUCUGACCAAAGCAGAACAAAAUGGGAUUGUGAAUCUCCUCCAUCGAGACACUAGACAAUGACUGAUGCAGUCUAGAAUUGCAUUGGCCUCUUUCGCCGCAGCUUCACGCUCUUGACACAUUUUCCAUUUGCAGACUACUAAGAACAGGGUUCACUACUAUCCGCACUUUUGUAUUUCUGCAAGAAACAGAUCCCCCAGGGAAGCAUUAAAAAACCACAACAACAACACACACACAAACAGUUCUUCAUAAAGAAAUGGGACAAACGUUAUUGACACAGCCAUGCCAUCAAGGUCACAACAUCUUAACAUGACACAAUGACUAGAGAUGUGUAGUGCAAAUUUUUCCUUCGUUUCCUUCAUGCUGUUGUUUCAUGUCGACCAUUCGUUGACAUGAUACGACAGACUACAGUUUCGUACAAAAGGAUAGGCAACACGAAAACGAAAGUCAUCAUGCUGGCUUUUGUUUUCUGCCUCAUGGCCUCCAUUGGCUGCAGUUCACUUUCUCAUGCAUCAGAAAAUAAGGCGGGAGGAGGUGACCCUUGGCCAAUUAGAGGCCAAGGAAUCACUGAAGUUGGCUGGGCAGGGAGGCAGGGAGUGUAUAUAAGGGAGGACUGCACCCAAAAGAGCCAUUUGCUGCCGUCACUGGGCUGUGGGCUGGUUGGGUUUUGCUGCUGUGCUGUCUCCACUUGGGCUGGGCUUGCUUUAGCUAGAAAUUGGGCAAAGAUGCACACAUUUUAAAAGUUGGUGUGCUAAAAGGGGUUGAUUUGCCCUCUGUGUUUUGCGAUUUUCACCCUUCUAGCCCUAAAUCUGAGUGGGGGGGUGAGCCCCUGAAGCCCUGCCAUUGCCGCUAAUGGCACAAAAAUGUUCGUGUUUUUCGUUAUUGAGAUGAAAAUUCGUUUUGUAUAGGUGGCCCAUUUUCGUUAGCGGGACAUGAAUACAAAAAUGAGAUGACACGAAUGAAAUACACAAAAUGAACAGCAAUUCCAUACAGAUGCAGAAAACUACUGCAUAGCAAAAGGCCAAUUAGUGUUUCUUGUGUAAAUGCAAGUACUAGAAUAAAAAGAAUGAUAAUCAGAUAUGGAUGGCAUUGGUAUGUAAAAGAAAUAAUACAAGGUGCAGAGAAGGAAAAGCAGUUUUCUUUGAAGACAAUAAAAUCUAAAAGCCGAAUAAACUCAGUGAAAAUAUUAAGGGAGUUUUCAUGGAGUGUAUUACUGAAAUUAUCAUCUCUAAUAUAUCCUAUUCUGUCCAGGUAAUGCAUAGUUAAGUCAUAUGAGGAUGUGCUGCAGAAAGAAACCAACAAGGCUGGAGAACAAAUAGUGACCACCUAGAUGCUUAUGGGAUGACCACCACAGGAUAUGAGGCCAAAGGUCCACUAAUCCUACAGUCAGGACUCCUGCUCUAGUUCUUCUAUCUGUAAAAGUUCUAAAGACACAAAAGCCUGGCUCAUACUCAGUUUGUUAAUUCUACAUCAAGCCUACAAAACUAUUCAAAGAUCAGUCAAACAAAUUGGAUGGCAUAUGUGAUAUCUGAAAAAGUGCAGAUGUAGGUGCCCCUGAUACCUCUGUCUACAAAGAGCUUGCCUGAAAGGCAGCUUCUGUGUAACAACGGUGUUGUUUCCAAGACACUUAUGCUCAAGUGUACUGUCUUUCCCACUCUGUGGUUUUACAAGGGAAUCAAUCAGAAUAUUCAGAAAAAAGGAAGCCAGCUGAAACAUUGUAGAGAUGCUUUCGUAAUGGAUCAAAACCACUUUUUUCUCAAGCUAUCCUGUGAGGUUUUGAUAAAUCCCUUCUGCAGUUUUUCCAUUCUGUAGCAGUAAAAUAUUCAGCAAGAAAUCAACAUAUUUUAAUAAUCAGGGAUAAGCAGCUAAAAAAAGGAAAUUGCCUUGGGAAGGUAGAAACAUUUUGUGCCAGUGAUUUCUUCCAUAUGUUACUCUGUACAUACUAACAAAUAGCUUGCAUCAAUUUGAUCACUGUCAUAACUGCUACAAAAUAAUGUUAUUAAAACGAGGAUCCAUAACUACACAAGUGUAAUGCAACAGUGUAAACAUAACUGUAGGAUUUCUUUUUUGUUUUCAUUGUGCGAUAUAUUAGAAGCAUCCUAUACUAUGUUCUCCGCUUUUGACUAUUGCCAUAAUGGUCUCUGGAUACCCCAAAAUAGGAUUGCAUGAACUAAGGUUUAUUGUCAAAAGUGGAAUAAUUCAGACUUUCAGUUAGUUAGCUAUUAGGCAUGUGCAAAAGACGUAUUGUAAGUGGGAAGCCAUAUCUGAAGCGUUUCCAUGGCUCACACCAAAUAUUUUAGAAUCAAAACAUACCCCAUACUUUUUUGUUUUAGUUUUGUAAAUCUCAGAAGGCUCCCAAAGUCAGUUUCAUAUUCAGUGCAAGGAAGCAAAGCCAUCAAGCCAAUAAUUCUGUUAUUGAUGUUUUAAAAGGUGCUUUUAGGAUGUUUUUAGGAUGUUUUUUAAAGAUGUUUUUAAGAUGUUUUUAAAUUGUUGAUUUUAGCCGGUUCUUGUAAGCCGCCCCGAGCCCUAGGGGAGUGGCGGCAUAUAAGUUUGAUAAAUAAAUAAAUAAAUAAAUAAAUAAUGCUGCCUGUCUGCCUUGCCAUUCUUCUCCCUGGAAUUAAUGGUGUCUCGGCAUUACAAGUGGUGAAAACAGGGAGCAGUGCAUUUUGAGAACGUCACAUAACUCUAGGAAAUGUAGUUUGGGAAGGCGAGGAGCCUUAUCGUCCUAUAGAAUAUUUUGCUUUGUUUGGUCUCCACCAAUUUAGGAAAGUUUCUGCCACAAAAGCAAAUUUAUGGGGGAAGCAUAACUUCUUUCAAAGUAAAGACUAUACAAUUAAAUAGGAAAUAACACUUUGAAAUUAGGAACAGAUUUAUUAUUUUUAAAAAGUUUAUAAAAACUUUAAAAAUUCACCAAAAAUCCGUUGAUAAGUUGAAACAUUCUGAAAUUUGGUGGGGUAACAGUGGUAAAUGUGUUCUACCAUUGAGCAAGUUUCACCCGAAUAGCUUUAAAAAUGAGGGAGAAAAGAGCCCUUGAAGUUUCCCAGUUAUAGUAAUUUAAUUAUAUGCAAUUACUGCAAUGCAAUAGUAACAAAAUUUCAUUAGUCUCGUUAUAGUAUUGAAAUUUUCACUAAGUAUACUUUAUAAACACUUUAGAAAUGAAGUGCCAGUGCCUCCCAGUUUUGUUGUGACUUUUUUAAAUGGCUCGCACAUGCUUACUAGCUAUUAUUGCCUCCCUUUCCUGUUAGUGCUCAGGGAGAAGGGCAAAGUGAGUCCUGUGGACUGCAUGUGGUGCCAACACCAUUUUUUUGCAUCCACAAACCACCCCAGACCACCUCUAUCCCUGAUCACCACCUAUUUAUUGGAGCCCCUAGUGGCACAGUGGGUUAAACUCUUGUGCUGGCAGGACUGAUGACU